GAUGAAGAACGCAGCGAAUUGCGAUAAGUAAUGCGAAUUGCAGAAUUCAGUGAGUCAUCGAAUCUUUGAACGCACAUUGCGCCCUGUGGUAUUCCGCAGGGCAUGCCUGUUCGAGCGUCAUUUCAACCCUCAAGCUCUGCUUGGUGUUGGGCCCUGCCCGCUGCGGCCGGCCCUAAAGACAGUGGCGGUGCCGCCUGGCCCUGAGCGUAGUACAUCUCUCGCUCCAGUGCCCGGUGGUAGCCUGCCAGAACCCCAACUCUCGUGGUUGACCUCGGAUCAGGUAGGGAUACCCGCUGAACUUAAGCAUAUCAAUAAGCGGAGGA
rnacentral:misc_RNA from 1 species